GUUGUGCACUCGAACGGCGCAUAAAGCGUUCUCGUCUGUUCCCAAUACGCGGAGUAUUCGGAGAUGUCAGGAAGUUCCAAUUUGGUAUCUAGUAAAUUGAGAUCAGCGUUAUGCAGCAAAAGAAUUAAUGUUAAAUUUAAAUGAAGAAUAAGAAAUGUUGAUUUAUGAUACAA